rnacentral:lncRNA from 1 species
UUUUAAAAUCUUUUUCGUUUUUUCAAUUCGAUAAAUCUUCCGUCAAAACGCCGUUAACCAUGCCUUCUAUCGAAGAUGAGCUGUUUCCGUCAACUCCGGGUAAAUUCAAAAUCGACCGUUCAAACCGUCAGCUCCACCGCUGCUUCGCCUCCACGAGCACCAUGUUCCUCUGGGCUCUCUUCCUCAUCGCCCUCACCGCCUCCUACCUGAGCAUCCAGAGCUUCGUCGACUCCGGCAGCCGCUACCUCACCGCCUCCUGGGGCGGCAUCCAGUGGGAGAAACAAGUCCGAACCUCCGCUCAGAUCCACCGCUCCGGCGGAAUCUCCGUCCUCGUCACCGGCGCCACCGGAUUCGUCGGCAGCCACGUGUCCCUCGCCUUGAGGAAGCGAGGAGACGGCGUCGUCGGGCUCGAUAACUUCAACAACUACUACGAUCCUUCGCUCAAGCGCGCGAGGAGGUCUCUGUUAUCUUCCCGAGGGAUCUUCGUCGUCGAAGGAGAUCUCAACGACGCGAAGCUACUGGCCAAGCUCUUCGACGUCGUCGCCUUCACUCACGUGAUGCACCUCGCCGCUCAGGCCGGGGUUCGAUACGCGCUGGAGAAUCCUCAGUCGUAUGUUCACAGCAACAUCGCCGGACUAGUCAACCUCCUCGAGACCUGCAAAUCGGCGAAUCCUCAGCCGGCGAUCGUCUGGGCUUCGUCUAGCUCGGUGUACGGACUCAACGAGAAAGUCCCCUUCUCGGAAUCUGAUCGAACUGAUCAACCGGCGAGUCUCUACGCGGCGACGAAGAAAGCUGGAGAGGAAAUCACCCACACUUAUAAUCAUAUUUACGGUCUUGCCAUCACCGGUUUAAGAUUCUUCACGGUUUACGGUCCAUGGGGUAGACCGGACAUGGCUUACUUCUCCUUCACGAGGAAUAUUCUCCAAGGUAAACCGAUCACGAUCUACCGAGGGAAAAACCGGGUCGAUUUGGCGAGGGAUUUCACUUACAUCGACGAUAUAGUCAAAGGCUGUUUAGGAUCUCUCGAUUCGUCGGGUAAGAGCACCGGGUCGGGUGGGAAGAAACGCGGAUCCGCACCGUACCGGAUAUUCAAUUUAGGGAACACGUCACCGGUUACGGUUCCGAUUCUGGUGGAUAUAUUGGAGAAGCAUCUCAAGGUGAAGGCGAAGAGGAACUUCGUGGAGAUGCCUGGAAACGGCGACGUUCCGUUCACGCACGCGAAUAUUAGCUCCGCCCGAAAGGAAUUCGGGUAUAAACCGACAACCGAUUUGGAAACCGGGCUGAGAAAGUUCGUUAGAUGGUAUCUUUCUUAUUACGGAUACAAUACUAAAGCCAAGCUUGUACAUUAACGGUGAAUUUUUUUUGUUGUACGAAUUUUUUUUGUUUUUUAAUAUACCCAACAUUAUUAUUAUUAUGAUGAUGAUUCGUUUCUUAAUUACUCAUUCUAGGUAAUUACUCCCAACAUUAUAUAUUGUUUUCUAUUACGACAGUCAAAAACUAAAAAGACAGCGAAUAAAUUUGUUAUAUUAAUUACUAUAUUUGUUCUUAGCAAAUAGUUACCUGCCAAAAAUGUUGGUUACGGGAUCUACGGUAUAUAUAAUCAGUGAUAUAAUCUGGGGGAAAUAAAAUAAAUAAUUUUAAAUAGAAAAAAUAGUUAGCUGGAAGAUUGUGACAGCAGAGAAAUUGGGCUUUUAGUGGUGGGUGGGGUCAAUCGGAGUUUUAUUUUUAUAAAGAAGAAGACCUAAGCUGUACGGUAACCGUUGGAUCCGAUGAGGAAUUUAAUUUUUGAGUCGUAAUCUUACGGUCCACCUGUGAAGUACUCAUGCGACGUUAUCUUCUCCACCGAUCGACACUAACGAGGACAAUAAACCAAUUCAUCGUUUUGUAUUUUGGAGGUAGCAAAGAAUAGGAAGUGAAAGGAAGGGUGUUGAAGUUUUUAAAAUAUUGACGAUAAUAUUUGAGUCAUGUCUUUUUGGUCUGUAGGUUUUUUUUUUUUGAACUAAAGUUCUAAGGUUUUCUAGAUUUAACAUGUUCAUAUAUGUAUAUAUAAAUGUAUUUCAAGAACUUGAUUUUCUUCGAACAAAUCUUCGUAUUUUUUUUGUUCAAGCAAACCAGUUAUAACAUGGAUAGAUAUUGACAUUUUGUGGGUCAUCAAGUGAAAAACAAUUACAUUGUUUAAGAAUGAUAUAUUUAUUUAAUUAGUUAGUUGUGUUUGUAGGCCAAAAUAUUCGCGAUUCUGAAAACGAGAGGAACGAAUAGAAAAUGAACGCAAAUGACAAGAAAGAAAAGGAAUGAUUGUUCAUUCUCAAAUUUAAUGAUAAAUACUUUUAUUCUUUAUUUCUCUACAAAAAAAAAUGAUAGGGAACGAAAAAAAAAAUAUUUUUUUAUGAAUUGGUGAUUUUUUUAUGAAGGUUAAGAAAUGCAUUAUUCUUUGCAGUUUCCUGAUCACCAUUCAUAUAGACAUUACACGAUAGUGCAAACAAUUUUAAACAAUUUUAUCAAAAUAACAAUAAUAAAAUAUCUUACCAUUUAGGGACCGUGGGACGUCGGCAAGCGGCCACACAAGCAGUGGUGGAUACAGAAUCAUAUUUAGAUGGGGCACAACAUUUUAUUUCAUUACGUCUCAUUGUAUGAUUAUAAAAAAUUUCUUAAAUUAAAAGUAAUUACCGAAGGAAAAUAAAAACUAGUUGGGGGCACAUGACCCCAUUCCUCGUCACUUGCGUCCGCCACUGCACACAAGACAUUUUGUACCGAGUCUUUGUUUCUAAAAACUUAAGGAUAUAAAAUGUAGAGGAUAUUUGAUCCCAACAAAAAGAAUGUAGAUGAGCAAUUGUUGAAUUGUGAAUUUUAUGAUUAAUCGAGAGGUAACGUGGUGGAGAGACCAAAUUAUAUCAUUACUAAUGAAAAUACAAAUCUAGAAAUGAUUGGGUAUUAAUGCUCGUUUAUAUAUGUUUUAACACAAACAUAGAAUUUGAUAAAGCGGAGAAUACGAACAUAUAGAAACACUUUAUUUUAUAGUCAUUGUGUUAUGGAUUAUGCUUAUCAGCUUUGAUCACAAUGCAGCAAAAUUAACCUAAAAUCGCUCAAUGCUUAGACCUCGGCCAAAUGAAAAUUUUGAUGUCUACACACAUGUUAUGACAUGGAGGUUCCGUUUCCUGUUAUUGAGAAAGCUAGUUCGGUUUGGUUGAUAAAAACCUAUCCGCGCUUUUACUUAAUUUUUAGGUUCAUUGAUCUUGGCUCUAAAAUUAAUAAAGAUUAGUCUUUUGUUAAUAUAUGGUGAAAAAUCACGAAGGUAGAAAACGAGUUUAAUUAUCAAAGAUUGUUUAGAAAUAUGAUAGUCUAAUUUAACUGUAGUGACAGGUGUUCUAAAAAUAAAAAGGUGUUCAGAAAAAAUAAAAAAUUUAACUGUAGUGACCAGACUCCUAACAAAACUGCUAACUGAUGUGCUUUUAUACUAAGCUACUUGAAUUAUUCUUUAUGUUGAACACUGAUUAUUUGGAGUUUGAGUAUAUCUAUGGAUAUGUUACAUGGUAGCAUGGAUGAGGAACGUUGUUGUAAUCCAUAUAUAUGCUAUUUUGGAUGGGUGUAGCAUGUUUUCUUUUACUCUGUAUAUUUCAAGUUUUAUCCAUAUUUGGUACCAUAUUCUUUUCGCUCUUAGUCAUAAUUGUUAGCAUAUUCUUGCACUUUUUUAUGUUGUUGUUCUUACUAUCUUUUCCUUCACCUUCACGGAUGUUUUUUUCGAACAAAAUGUUGAUACGACUUACGAAAUCCUUUUAAAUGCUACACAAAUAAAUUCGUCAGGGGAUGUAGCUCAUAUGGUAGAGCGCUCGCUUUGCAUGCGAGAGGCACAGGGUUCGAUUCCCUGCAUUUCCACUUAUAAGUUUUGCUGACAAAAAAAAUCAUCUACAACAACUGGUUUUUUAGAAUUUUGGUAGUAACUUCCAUAAACACGUAACGUAUUUCACCCUUGACCUAUAACAAAAUCCGACAUGGUGUAAAAGAAACGAUAACAACAGAGAAUGCAUGUCACUAGUUAUUUGAUUUUAAUAUUGUUGAUUUCUUUCCCAAUAUAUUGUUGAGUUUUGAAUAUUGUAAAAAGUUAAAUUGAUGGCCUAAUGGUGGUUCUAGAUCUGCUCUCUCUUCUCUCUAGACUUCUUCGUUUGAGCUUUGUCUUUCCGGCCGACGCAGGUGGGCUCCGACAGCCACGGAGUCGGUCCGGUUGUCUCAGCUUUGAUUUCUUAUUUCUUUAGUUUGGGUAGUUUUUGGUUAAAGCUUAGAUUCUCAGUUUCAGAUUCUGAUUUGAUCCGUUAGAUCUCAUGGUGUUUGGCUUGGUUUUGGGCGUUUGGGUGCUUGCAUGCAGUGAUCCUUCUGAUUCUUGGAUGUUUUCAGUUUAUCUGGUGACAUUGAUGCUGGUUUCUUGGUUACCGCCGAUCUUAUUUGGGCUCAAGCUCAAACCUUUGUUGAUCUUUCUGUGGUAAUUUGAUAUGCAUUUGGUGGUGAAGCUUCUGGGGUUGGUUGGAAUGCUUAUCCAAGAAUUUGCAUGCAACGGUUCAGGUUCGGUUGCAGUGAAGCUCAUUCUGUCUCUGUCUUUGCGAAGACAUUACCGGCUCAGUUCUUUGGAUUUGGAGCCUCGGCUCUUUACUCUUCAAGUCGUUGGGAGUUCGUUUGGUCAAAUCAGUGUCGUCUCACCUCGUCUCCCAUGGUUAGUUCCAAGCGGUUAUGCUCGUGGCUCCUUUGAAAGUUUGGAGCAAUAUAAUGAGCUCUGUGUAUGGGCUUCCUCAUUAAACUCGACUUAGUGGUUACGCUCAAUCUAAUCCUACCUUUCCCGGUUUGUUUUCAUCGUUUGUCCAAAGUGCUAGUUUGUUUCAUCAAAUCUGUUUCUGUGUAAUCUUAAGCUUUUGUUUCAAUGUCGUUCUGGUGUUGUGUGUGUUAUGUUUCCCUCUUUAAGGCCUAGUCUCCAGAAGAAAUUGUUUUCUUGCUGGCUUUGUAUUUCACAAAAGCAUCCUACCUUGUAUCUUCUCUUGUUAUAAAUAAAAUUCCAAGUGUUCAAAAAAAAAAAAAAGAUGGCCUAUAAUGGUGGUUACUUAUUUUUUUAUUACCUAUAUACAAAAACACGUUUUCAUCAAAUUAGCUUGUGUGUGUAUCUGUAUCAUCUCUUUCCUUUUUAAUAAUGUUCUGUAUAUGUAGAAGAAAAUAUGGCAAAAAUUAUCAUUACUCUAUUAUGCAUACUUAGCAAAAUAUACAUUUAAAACAAAUCAAAAGUAUUUAUAAUUUCAAUGAAAUGAUAUUUUAAUCAAUAAUUUUUUGACCUCUCAACAAUGUAAUUUCACUGUUAUAUUGCUAUUAAGCAAGAUAGUUAACUAAUCAGAUUUUAAAAUUUGAAAACUUUAAAUCACUAGCUGAGAAACCGCGUGAUAAUUAAGGAUCAUUCCUUAAUGGUAUUACUCAAAACAUUUUGAAAUAGAAACAAGCAUUACAUUAAACUAGUUGAUAAUCCGCGCAAGUGCUCAGAGUGAAUUUUUACUAUAAUAUUUACUCAUACAAAAUUUUAAUGUUAUGCAAUAACUAUAAUUUUAUGAAGUCUAAAAUCGUAUAUAACACUUGUGCAUGAAUAUAAGGUUGAUAAAUAAUAUAUGAACCAUAGUUGUUGAUAAGUUUUUAUUUUUAAAGUCCACACUUUUAAAUUUUGGCUUUAAUUAACUUGACCCAUUCCAUUAAGAAUAUUUUUGCCAAAAAUAGAAAAUGAUAUAUAAAUUUAAUUGUGUGAGAAUUAACCAUCUCCCGCGCCUUUUUUUUAUAAGAAUUAGACAUGAAAUAGUUGUCAUUAUGUCUAGAAAAUCACUAUUUAUUAAACGAAAUAUAUACUUACCAUAUAAAAUAUUCAAUCUUUUAUGGAAUAACAUAAGCAAUUGAUUCAAGCUCAUUUACGUAAACAACAUGUACAUAAGAUAUGUCAAAUUUUCCUUUUUAACAUACGAUUGCAUUUAUCAGUCUUGAGAAUUAAUUGAAAACAUUAUAAUUUUAUAGUAGUGAACGGUCCAUUCAAUGGUUGUAUUGUAAUAUUUCUACUAGGAUAAGACUGCGCAGAGCCGUCAGCUCCACCGCUGCUUCGCCUCCACGAGCACCAUGUUCCUAUGGGCUCUCUUCCUCAUCGCCCUCACCGCCUCCUACCUGAGCUUCCAGAGCUUCGUCGACUCCGGCAGCCGCUACCUCACCGCCUCCUGGGGCGGCAUCCAGUGGGAGAAACAAGUCCGAACCUCCGCUCAGAUCCACCGCUCCGGCGGAAUCUCCGUCCUCGUCACCGGCGCCACCGGAUUCGUCGGCAGCCACGUGUCCCUCGCCUUGAGGAAGCGAGGAGACGGCGUCGUCGGGCUCGAUAACUUCAACAACUACUACGAUCCUUCGCUCAAGCGCGCGAGGAGGUCUCUGUUAUCUUCCCGAGGGAUCUUCGUCGUCGAAGGAGAUCUCAACGACGCGAAGCUACUGGCCAAGCUCUUCGACGUCGUCGCCUUCACUCACGUGAUGCACCUCGCNNN